rnacentral:rRNA from 1 species
UUAAGGCUGAGCUGUGAUGGGGAGAAGACAUUGUGUCUUCGAGUCGUUGAUUUCACACUGCCGAGAAAAGCCUCUAGAUAGAAAAUAGGUGCCCGUACCGCAAACCGACACAGGUAGUCAAGAUGAGAAUUCUAAGGUGAGCGAGCGAACUCUCGUUAAGGAACUCGGCAAAAUGACCCCGUAACUUCGGGAGAAGGGGUGCUCUUUAGGGUUAACGCCCAGAAGAGCCGCAGUGAAUAGGCCCAAGCGACUGUUUAUCAAAAACACAGGUCUCUGCUAAACCGUAAGGUGAUGUAUAGGGGCUGACGCCUGCCCGGUGCUGGAAGGUUAAGAGGAGUGGUUAGCUUCUGCGAAGCUACGAAUCGAAGCCCCAGUAAACGGCGGCCGUAACUAUAACGGUCCUAAGGUAGCGAAAUUCCUUGUCGGGUAAGUUCCGACCCGCACGAAAGGCGUAACGAUUUGGGCACUGUCUCAACGAGAGACUCGGUGAAAUCAUAGUACCUGUGAAGAUGCAGGUUACCCGCGACAGGACGGAAAGACCCCGUGGAGCUUUACUGUAGCCUGAUAUUGAAAUUCGGCACAGCUUGUACAGGAUAGGUAGGAGCCUUUGAAACGUGAGCGCUAGCUUACGUGGAGGCGCUGGUGGGAUACUACCCUAGCUGUGUUGGCUUUCUAACCCGCACCACUUAUCGUGGUGGGAGACAGUGUCAGGCGGGCAGUUUGACUGGGGCGGUCGCCUCCUAAAAGGUAACGGAGGCGCUCAAAGGUUCCCUCAGAAUGGUUGGAAAUCAUUCAUAGAGUGUAAAGGCAUAAGGGAGCUUGACUGCGAGACCUACAAGUCGAGCAGGGUCGAAAGACGGACUUAGUGAUCCGGUGGUUCCGCAUGGAAGGGCCAUCGCUCAACGGAUAAAAGCUACCCCGGGGAUAACAGGCUUAUCUCCCCCAAGAGUUCACAUCGACGGGGAGGUUUGGCACCUCGAUGUCGGCUCAUCGCAUCCUGGGGCUGUAGUCGGUCCCAAGGGUUGGGCUGUUCGCCCAUUAAAGCGGUACGCGAGCUGGGUUCAGAACGUCGUGAGACAGUUCGGUCCCUAUCCGUCGUGGGCGUAGGAAAUUUGAGAGGAGCUGUCCUUAGUACGAGAGGACCGGGAUGGACAUACCUCUGGUGUACCAGUUGUCGUGCCAACGGCAUAGCUGGGUAGCUAUGUGUGGACGGGAUAAGUGCUGAAAGCAUCUAAGCAUGAAGCCCCCCUCAAGAUGAGAUUUCCCAACUUCGGUUAUAAGAUCCCUCAAAGAUGAUGAGGUUAAUAGGUUCGAGGUGGAAGCAUGGUGACAUGUGGAGCUGACGAAUACUAA